UGCACAGGUCCGCUACUAAUUAGAAGGAUAGAUAGCAGCCCGUGCUGUCGUGAUACCUUCCUCCACCCAACUCCACCCGACACCUACUGUAUUCCACCUGUUUGAAUCGAACUUGAAUGCCGCCGUCCCGAACCAUCUCCUAUACCACACACCCACAAACCAUGUAUCGUCGAUGGGACAUGUGUGCGCGGAAUGGCUCGCUAAAAUCCAGGAAGUGCAGUUCCAGAAGUCGAAACGCACAAAGCGGGGCUGCCCGACCGUCCCAUGCGGGACUAAAUGGAGCUAUUGGCACUGUUUCUUUCGUUUGAUGGAUAUGGACAUGAAGAAUUCAUGUGUGCUUUUCCCCCCACGUUUUCUUUGACCCAUUGUAACGAAAACCUAUUUCGUAUGAAAUGCAGGGGUUUGAGCCAGCACAUGAUUGGUAGGCUACAUUGUAAAAUAUGAGCUAUAAUUUCAAUCAAAUUUGAAUUUAUAUUUUAUAUUUUCACUACCCAGAUUGUCAUAACUGGAUAACCUAUUGUAUUGGUAUAAUAAUAAUAAAAAAUACUAUGUAUAACGGAA